rfam:Firmicutes bacterium CAG:272 genomic scaffold, scf327
AUAUAAUCUUCAGGUCAGCCAAAGACAGCAGGUUCAAAGGUAAUAGUUUCACGCUUCCUGCCGAGGUUUUCAUAAACGAUAUUUUUUCUGAUAAUAUUGAUUUGUGUGCCUGCGGAAGAAGUGAAAUUCUCCUGCAGGCAUUUUUAUCAGGAGGU